GAGUCAUUGGGACUCUGUUAAACCUAAAGGCGCAAUGAAAGUAAAGGUCCGCCUCGCGCGGACCGAGGGAGGAUGGGCCCGUACACGUACGGGCCCCGCACUCCCGGGGCGUCUCGUUCUCAUCGCGAGAAGAGGCGCACCCAGAGCGUACACGCUGGGACCCGAAAGAUGGUGAACUAUGCCUGGUCAGGACGAAGUCAGGGGAAACCCUGAUGGAGGUCCGUAGCGAUUCUGACGUGCAAAUCGAUCGUCGGAACUGGGUAUAGG
rnacentral:rRNA from 1 species